GAUGAACGCUGGCGGCAUGCCUUACACAUGCAAGUCGAACGGUAACAGGUCUUCGGAUGCUGACGAGUGGCGAACGGGUGAGUAAUACAUCGGAACGUGCCUAGUAGUGGGGGAUAACUACUCGAAAGAGUGGCUAAUACCGCAUGAGAUCUACGGAUGAAAGCAGGGGAUCGCAAGACCUUGUGCUACUAGAGCGGCCGAUGGCAGAUUAGGUAGUUGGUGGGAUAAAAGCUUACCAAGCCGACGAUCUGUAGCUGGUCUGAGAGGACGAUCAGCCACACUGGGACUGAGACACGGCCCAGACUCCUACGGGAGGCAGCAGUGGGGAAUUUUGGACAAUGGGCGAAAGCCUGAUCCAGCAAUGCCGCGUGCAGGAUGAAGGCCUUCGGGUUGUAAACUGCUUUUGUACGGAACGAAAAGCUCUGGGUUAAUACCCUGGGGUCAUGACGGUACCGUAAGAAUAAGCACCGGCUAACUACGUGCCAGCCGCCGCGGUAA
rnacentral:rRNA from 1 species